rnacentral:rRNA from 1 species
UACGUGGGGUGCAAGCGUUGUUCGGAAUUACUGGGCGUAAAGGGCUCGUAGGCGGCCAACUAAGUCAGACGUGAAAUCCCUCGGCUUAACCGGGGAACUGCGUCUGAUACUGGAUGGCUUGAGUGUGGGAGAGGGAUGCGGAAUUCCAGGUGUAGCGGUGAAAUGCGUAGAUAUCUGGAAGAACACCAGUGGCGAAAGCGCUCUACUGGGCCAUAACUGACACUGAGGGACGAAAGCUAGGGGAGCGAAAGGG